AGGUUACUAGGCAUAUUAUAAUACCAACUACGUUGGCUAAAAUUCUAGAUAGAAUACUGAUUAUGACAAUUUUCUAUCUACUUGUCUUGACCAAAUUACGUGCCAGCAGUCGCGGUAAUACGUAGAAGACUAGUGUUAUUCAUCUUUAAUAGGUUUAAAGGGUACCUAGACGGUGUGACUAACCUUAAAAGGAAAUAGUUAUUUUACUAGAGUUUGAUAUGAGAAGGGGAGUAUUUACGGAGUAGAGUUAAAAUUCUUUGAUACCCUAAGGACUGGCAAUGGCGAAAGCGACCUUUUAUGUAAAAACUGACGUUGAGGGACGAAGGCUUGGAUAGCGAACAGGAUUAGAUACCCUAGUAGUCUUUGCAGAAAAUGAUGAAUGCCAUAGACUAGAUUUUUUUGGUUUAUAAAUGAAAGUGUAAGCAUUCCACCUCAAGAGUAAUGUGGCAACGCAGGAACUGAAAUCAUUAGACCGUUUCUGAGAACAGUAGUGAAGUAUGUUGCUUAAUUCGAUAAUCCUCGAAAAACCUUACCACAACUUGAAUAGUGUCAUCAGUAGUUAAUGUAGAAGUAUAUUUAUUACGGUGAUGUUACAUGCGUUGCACGGUUGUCUUCAGCUAAUGUCGUGAGAUUUUGGUUAGUUCCAUAAAAUUAGCGUAAACCCCGGCUUUAUUUUUAAAUUAUUAUCAUAGAGCAGUUCAUCACUAUAUUGAAUACUUGAUAACAGGAUCAAGACAAAUCAUCCAUUGCCCG
rnacentral:rRNA from 1 species